rnacentral:tRNA from 1 species
AGCACUGUGGCGCAGAGGUCAGCGCGUCGGACUCAUUAUCCGAAGGGCGUCGGUUCGAAUCCGACCAGUGCCUCCA